rnacentral:rRNA from 1 species
AACGAACGCUGGCGGCAUGCCUAACACAUGCAAGUCGAACGAAACCUUCGGGUCUAGUGGCGCUCGGGUGCGUAACGCGUGGGAAUCUGCCACUGGGUUCGCCAUAACAGUUGGAAAGGACUGCUAAUACCGGAUGAUGACGUAAGUCGAAAGGUUUAUCGCCCUGGGAUGUGCCCGCGUAGGAUUAGCUUGUUGGUGGGGUCAAGGCAUACCAAGGCGUCGAUCCUUAGCUGGUCUGAGAGGAUGAUCAGCCACACUUGGGCUGGGACACAGCCCAGACUCCUACGCAAGGGAGCAGUGGGGAAUAGUGGACAACGGGCGAAAGCCUGAUCCAGCAACGCCCGGUGAGUGAUGAUGGCCGUAGGGUUGUAAAGCCCUUUUACCCGGGAUGAUAAUGACGGUACCGGGUGAAUAAGCCCCGGCUAACUCCGUG